AUGAGGGAAGGUCAGGAGUCAAUUUUCCACCGUGACAAUGCUUUCGACUACUGGGGGAAAGGAACCUCGGUGACUGUGAGUUCAGGUGUUCAGACCCCUCCCAUCUCUCUCUUCACUGUGUCUGCGUGCGCCCCCUCCUCUGAUGGCUUCCUUACUCUCGGCUGCGUCACAAGCGGUUUCUCUCCCGCCGACUCGCUCAAGUUCUCCUGGGCCGGCGACGUCAGUGACGUGCUGCAGUACCCGGCUGUACAGCAGGGUGGCACCUAUACAGCGGUGAGUCAAGCGCGCGUCAAGGCCGCUGACUGGGACGCGGAGAAGCCGUUCUCCUGCCAGGCGAACCAUCAAGCAAGUACAAGACCCAUACCCAACAGGUGGAAUAUAAGAGGUAUAAGCACAUUCAGGGCUCAGAGACCAGCACCGUGUGAACAAAACAUCCCUAACACCACCACCACCACCAUCAAGCCAAACUUUCAGAAUAAAUAUCCAAUGAGGAAUACUGCAAAUCCAAGCAUUAACCCCGAACACAUCCUAUUACACGUUAUUCAUGAAAUGCCCAGUGACAAGAGGGGUACUGCCCCAGUGACAGAUUGUACCUGCUGCAUACAUCUCUAUGUUUGUUUGUGUUUUCCAGAUGUGACAGUGCAGCCUACUGCUCUGCUUCUAACAGUGCCCACCCAAGCGGACUUGGACAAUGGAGUGGCUACCUUCAUCUGUGUAGCCAGUCAGUUCUCACCUAAAGAACAUAAACUUACCUGGACUCUUGAUCAAAAGGAGAUCACAGAUCGGGCCAAGCCAACGAUUUUAACUGAGGAGAAAAGCACUAUUACCAUGUACACUGCCAUUAGCAUUUUGGAAAUCUUGGCCAGCGAAUGGGUGGACACGCUUUCCACAAUCAAGUGUGAAUUCAAGCAUCAGGGAUCGAUACUCGAUGAUGAAACCGAAAAGGUAGAAAUUGUUCCCCCUUCCACUGAGGAUAUGCUGGUCUGGGGUGCUGGUGAGCUUCAGUGCCGUGCUACGGGACCUAAUGGUUUCAAGAGCAUCCAGUGGAUGCGUGCUGGUCAGAUCAUCACAUCUGAAGUCCAGGGAGAAGUUGGCGGUUCCUCACUCACAGCUAUUGCUAGAAUCAAUUCCGAUGACUGGAGCAGAGCCACAGAAUACAACUGUGUGGUGGAGCAUAAAUUAUUCGCCGAACUCAACAAGACAUACACAUAUAGGAAAAAAGGCGGAGGAGAAAAGACGUGUCCCUCUGUUUACUUACUCGCUCCACCAGAGCACGGCCAGGAGGGAGGGGUGACCCUGACUUGCUAUGUGAAAAACUUCUACCCCAACGAUCUGGUUGUGUAUUGGCUUGCUAAUGAUAAAAUACUGAACAGUACAGAGGACGACUCUAUCCCCUACCAGCACAGAACCUCUUGCCCGAUUGAGAUUGAAAAAGAUCGCCUCUAUUCAAUUUACAGCCAGCUGGUUAUCAGCUCUGCAGAAUGGAAGACAGGAACGGUGUUCAGCUGCUUAGUGUACCAUGAGGCCAUUAACCCAACCAUCUGCACGAUAUCCAGAUCACUCGACAAUGUUUCAGGCAAGCCCACCUUAGUGAGCCUCAGCAUGAGUGUUCCCUCGACCCCCGCCUUCACAGAUUGCAUGGUGUUGACGGAGAUGUUCUGCAAAGAGCCAAAGGAGACAGAUUGGUCAGUGGAGACAGAAGACAGUAACAUGGAGAACACUGCCUUAACGUUUGUCUUUCUCUUCCUCAUCACCCUGAUCUACUGCAUUGGCGCCACUAUUGUGAAAGUGAAAUGAGUAUCGGUCACAAGGAUGGAAACAUCUCCCUCAUCAUACUCCUCUAAAACUUACUGUCUGACGCUAUGUCUUAAG